rnacentral:rRNA from 1 species
UACGAGAGGCCCAAACGUUAUUCGGAAUUACUGGGCGUAAAGGGCUCGUAGGCGGCCAACUAAGUCAGACGUGAAAUCCCUGGGCUCAACCCAGGAACUGCGUCCGAUACUGGUUGGCUUGAAUCCGGGAGAGGGAUGUGGAAUUCCAGGUGUAGCGGUGAAAUGCGUAGAUAUCUGGAGGAACACCGGUGGCGAAGGCGACAUCCUGGACCGGUAUUGACGCUGAGGCGCGAAAGCCAGGGGAGCAAACGGG